GCUAUACAUGCAAGUCGAACGAACUCUGGUAUUGAUUGGUGCUUGCAUCAUGAUUUACAUUUGAGUGAGUGGCGAACUGGUGAGUAACACGUGGGAAACCUGCCCAGAAGCGGGGGAUAACACCUGGAAACAGAUGCUAAUACCGCAUAACAACUUGGACCGCAUGGUCCGAGCUUGAAAGAUGGCUUCGGCUAUCACUUUUGGAUGGUCCCGCGGCGUAUUAGCUAGAUGGUGGGGUAACGGCUCACCAUGGCAAUGAUACGUAGCCGACCUGAGAGGGUAAUCGGCCACAUUGGGACUGAGACACGGCCCAAACUCCUACGGGAGGCAGCAGUAGGGAAUCUUCCACAAUGGACGAAAGUCUGAUGGAGCAACGCCGCGUGAGUGAAGAAGGGUUUCGGCUCGUAAAACUCUGUUGUUAAAGAAGAACAUAUCUGAGAGUAACUGUUCAGGUAUUGACGGUAUUUAACCCAGAAAGCCACGGCUAACUACGUGCCAGCAGCCGCGGUAAUACGUAGGUGGCAAGCGUUGUCCGGGAUUUAUUGGGCGUAAAGCGAGCGCAGGCGGUUUUUUAAGUCUGAUGUGAAAGCCUUCGGCUCAACCGAAGAAGUGCAUCGGAAACUGGGAAACUUGAGUGCAGAAGAGGACAGUGGAACUCCAUGUGUAGCGGUGAAAUGCGUAGAUAUAUGGAAGAACACCAGUGGCGAAGGCGGCUGUCUGGUCUGUAACUGACGCUGAGGCUCGAAAGUAUGGGUAGCAAACAGGAUUAGAUACCCUGGUAGUCCAUACCGUAAACGAUGAAUGCUAAGUGUUGGAGGGUUUCCGCCCUUCAGUGCUGCAGCUAACGCAUUAAGCAUUCCGCCUGGGGAGUACGGCCGCAAGGCUGAAACUCAAAGGAAUUGACGGGGGCCCGCACAAGCGGUGGAGCAUGUGGUUUAAUUCGAAGCUACGCGAAGAACCUUACCAGGUUCUUGACAUACUAUGCAAAUCUAAGAGAUUAGACGUUUCCCUUCGGGGACAUGGAUACAGGUGGUGCAUGGUUGUCGUCAGCUCGUGUCGUGAGAUGUUGGGUUAAGUCCCGCAACGAGCGCAACCCUUAUUAUCAGUUUGCCAGCAAUUAAGUUGGGCACCUCUGGUGAGACUGCCGGUGACAAACCGGAGGAAGGUGGGGAUGACGUCAAAUCAUCAUUGCCCCUUAUGACCUGGGCUUAACACACACGUGUCCUCACAAUUGGAUGGUACAACGAGUUGCGAACUCGCGAGAGUAAGCUAAUCUCUUAAAGCCAUUCUCAGUUCGGAUUGUAGGCUGCAACUCGCCUACAUGAAGUCGGAAUCGCUAGUAAUCGCGGAUCAGCAUGCCGCGGUGAAUACGUUCCCGGGCCUUGUACACACCGCCCGUCACACCAUGAGAGUUUGUAACACCCAAAGUCGGUGGGGUAACCUUUUAGGAACCAGCCGCCUAAG
rnacentral:rRNA from 1 species